ACCAUCUAGGAAAUGGACCAAUCAGCUGCCACUCUCGCUUAAAUGGGUUCACACAGCACCUGCUCCUUACAUAAUCAACUUCAGAGUCUUUGGGGAGGGUGUCCCACUAAAUAAACCAGGCUCAUAUGCUGGCCCCCUGGCAGCAAGGGAGUCUGGGAAAGCAAGUAUCUGAUCCUCUCCUGUGGCAAGAAGAUGGGAUGUGCACUCCACAAAGGAUGAAAUGAUCAAAAAGGUAUGACAUAUGUCUACCUCAUUGAUAUACUUGGUUCUCUUGGCCAAAUGCCCUCUCACUGCACCUCACUGCAACAUUAAUAUCUAAGAGUGAAAUCUUAUAGUCAGUCCCCUUUUCACAUGAGAAGAUGGACUUAGGUUAACAGACUUGUCCAAGGUCACACAACUCAAUAAAUAUUAUUAAACAUUUUAAUAAAUAAAGAUUAUUCAAACUCCCAUGCCACACUGACUCCACUGGACUUCACUGUCUUUGUCCAUUGGUUGCCUCUGCUUUCCUAGUCUUUGUUAUCUAUAUCCUCGUGUAUAUUUCCUUUUGGUCUCAUCUCCCCUGUUACAUGUUAAGUUCCCGUUCUUCUCCCCUCAACCCACUGAAUUAAGCUAGGAGGGACCCCAGAGAUCUGCCUCAGAUGCAGCUGGUUACCCCUGCAACAGCCAUUCACCUGUCUUCCCUCGCUAACAGAUCAUGGGCUUUGUCCAAGAGACAAUGGGCUGGGCUUUGGGAAUGAAUAGCGAUUGGUCUAAGGAUAAGCAUGUGACCCAGUUCUGGCCAAUGGGAUGUAAGGAGUAAUCGGUCAUGGAGCUUCUGGGGCUCCCGCGUCAUAGAGAGGUGUGGGAAAGAAUAGUGCCUUUCUGCUCCCUUUCUUCUAGCUUGAAACUGAGUCCUGGGAGGACAGGACGGCUGCCACACUAACCGCCCCAUUGGGAAUGCUGGAGUAAGACCAUUGAACCUCCGCAAGAUUAAAGCUGUGAUUCAGUAGAAGGAGCACAGGAUUUGGAAGAACUACUACCCACCCAACUCUGCAACCGUCCAAACACCAUGCAAGUUUGAGUACUAGCCCCGCACUUGAGAGAGUCGAUUAACCUGUUUGAGCGGUAGUUUCCUUGUACGUAAAGGCCCGCUGGACCUCUGGAACUGGUUUUGCGAGUCCGCGUUCAUUUUAAUUCCAUUAGCAAACUUGGACUUGCUCGUGCUGACUACUGAUUCUUGAUGACAAAGUGAAAAUGGAUGCAAAGUUUUACAGCGAGUUUGUAACCUGUAAGGGGACUCUUUGUCCCUCCAGCAAGGCCCUUAAAAAGCAAGCUCUCAGAGGCUGGUUACUGGAUGCCAACGUGCGGGGCCAGAAAGACCAUCUAACAAAAGCGGUUUAAAAGAGACUUGACAACGGUGUUUUACCCAGAGCAAAGUGUGCCCAAACAUUUCAAACCAGAGCUGUCGACAAAGAAUGUGUUUGCAAACCAGACAGAAUUUAAAAUAAACUUCAGCCGGCAAAUGAUAAACCUUCCCUAAAAAGGUAAUCAGAUAGUGAGUGAACGAACUUUGGAAGUGGUGUUAGAAAAGAUUUCUACACCAUCCAACAUGCUCUCACACUUUCACCUCCCAAUGGAUCUGUGCCCUUGUUUGGGGGCAGGGGGUCAAAAAAUUGGAAAAGUUAGGAUUGUUGAGUUCUACUCAGCGGGCAGCUGUGGGAAAGCAGCAAGCAAUGGAAUAUGCCGUGACAGCUUGGAAAAGAAAAGCCAAACAGGCUAAAUCCUGAGGAUUGUGGUGCGGGAAGAAAGGCAUAGAAGGCGGGCAAGGGGAGGUCCCAGGGCCGUGUGAGCAGGCGUGGCAGGACACGUCAGCCCAGCGGCUGGUACCCAGGGCAGGUGGGCAGGGAGUCGCUUACCCUUCUCUUCUCUCACUGACUCCAUGCUAGAUCUUCAAGGCACCAUAUUUGGAAAAGUCCUCCUUCCUCUGAGGCUCAUACCAUUCGCCCGCAC